ACUUCGGUUAAUUUGGUUCGUUUUCGAUUUGUGCAAAGUGGAGUAGAGAUGCAGCCUGUGCGCCUGCGACCUCCAAGAUGCUGCGGUGAGACAGAAGGAUUCUGCAGAAGUUCGGAGUAAGGAAGUUCGCAGGAAGGACAUGCUGCACUUACUCCUUUGACCAAAAGGGGGCACUCAGGGUGGAGCUGGAGCAACACUGAGGGUGAAGCCUGACUGAAGCAGCUGAUGCUGAUCAGCUAGUGCAAGUACAACUUCAGGUCUCUGCUUCAACUAAGGCCCCAGACACAGUCCACGCACGUAACCGAGCACAAAUGACAACGCGAUGGCUUCCAUUGCACCCAUAGGCCCAGAGAUCAGGUUAUAAAUGCAACACAAACACAGACU